AGUGAACGCUGGCGGUAGGCCUAACACAUGCAAGUCGAACGGCAGCACAGUAAGAGCUUGCUCUUACGGGUGGCGAGUGGCGGACGGGUGAGGAAUACAUCGGAAUCUACUUUUUCGUGGGGGUUAACGUAGGGAAACUUACGCUAAUACCGCAUACGACCUACGGGUGAAAGCAGGGGAUCUUCGGACCUUGCGCGAUUGAAUGAGCCGAUGUCGGGUUAGCUAGUUGGCGGGGUAAAGGCCCACCAAGUCGACGAUCCGUAGCCGGUCUGAGAGGAUGAUCAGCCACACUGGAACUGAGACACGGUCCAGACUCCUACGGGAGGCAGCAGUGGGGAAUAUUGGACAAUGGGCGCAAACCUGAUCCAGCCAUACCGCGUGGGUGAAGAAGGCCUUCGGGUUGUAAAGCCCUUUUGUUGGGAAAGAAAAGCAGCAGGUUAAUACCCCGCUGUUCUGACGGUACCCAAAGAAUAAGCACCGGCUAACUUCGUG
rnacentral:rRNA from 1 species